UACGUAGGGGGCAAGCGUUGUCCGGAAUUAUUGGGCGUAAAGGACGCGUAGGCGGCGCAUCGCGUCGCACGUGAAAGCCCCCGGCUCAACCGGGGAGGGUCGUGCGAAACGGAUGUGCUUGAGGCAGAGAGAGGCGAGUGGAAUUCCCGGUGUAGUGGUGAAAGGCGUAGAUAUCGGGAGGAACACCAGAGGCGAAGGCGGCUCGCUGGCUCUGACCUGACGCUGAGGCGUGAAGGCGUGGGGAGCGAACGGG
rnacentral:misc_RNA from 1 species